rnacentral:sRNA from 1 species
AUGGCUGUCGUCAGCUCGUGUCGUGAGAUGUUGGGUUAAGUCCCGCAACGAGCGCAACCCUUAUUUCAUGUUGCCAGCGCGUAAUGGCGGGGACUCGUGAGAGACUGCCGGGGUCAACUCGGAGGAAGGUGGGGAUGACGUCAAGUCAUCAUGCCCCUUAUGUCCAGGGCUUCACACAUGCUACAAUGGCCGGUACAAAGGGCUGCGAUGCCGUGAGGCUUAGCGAAUCCUUUAAAGCCGGUCUCAGUUCGGAUCGUAGUCUGCAACUCGACUACGUGAAGUCGGAGUCGCUAGUAAUCCCGGAUCAGCAACGCCGGGGUGAAUACGUUCCCGGGCCUUGUACACACCGCCCGUCACACCACGAAAGUCGGCAACACCCGAAGCCGGUGGCCCAACCGCAAGGAGGGAGCCGUCGAAGGUGGGGUCGGUGAUUGGGGUGAAGUCGUAACAAGGUAGCCGUACCGGAAGGUGCGGCUGGAUCACCUCCUUUCUAAGGAGUACCUGCUCAGACCAUUUGUGUCUGAGAACUCCCAGUUGAUCACUAGCCAGUUGGCAUCCUGACCGUCAGGUCGUGGUUGAAGAUUUCGGUCUCCUACGGCAGGCCGGCGAGAUGCCGAAGCAAUCCUCUGUUCCGUUUUCUGGGGGCGCCGCAGCGCGGCGCUCCCGGUGUGUCGUGGGCCUUUGUUUGGCCCGGCGCCCCUUGAGAACUCCAUAGCGAGCACGAGCAUCUUUGUUUACCAAGCUACAAAGAGCCAACGGUGGAUGCCUUGGCGCCUGAAGCCGAUGAAGGACGUGGGUGGCUGCGAAAAGCCACGGGGAGCUGCCUACCAAGCUUUGAUCCGUGGAUAUCCGAAUGGGGAAACCCGG